rnacentral:rRNA from 1 species
AUGGUAUCCUCGGGUCGCACUGCGGUGAACAUUAACGGGGAGAUCAGUUCAUUCUUCCCCACUUUAUGUGGGGUGCGCCAGGGCGACCCCUUCUCCCUAUUCUUGUUUAACAUGGUUGUCGAUGCGCUGGCGGCCAUCCUGGAUAAGGCCAAGGCGGCGGGUCACAUUAAGGGGAUAGUGCUGCAUCUAGUUGGAGGUAAUGGGAUUUCCCUUCUCCAUUAUGCGGACGACACCAUUAUCAUGGUGGAGGGGUUGGAGAGUGAUAUUUCAAACCUCAAGUUCCUCUUAUUGUGCUUCCAGGAGAUGUCCGGCCUUCGGAUCAACUUCGACAAGAGUGAGGUGAUGGUCUUGGGUUACGCCCAAGACGAGCGACAGAGCAUAGCUGAGCGGCUUAACAGCCAGCUCGGGUGUUUCCCCACGACAUAUCUGGGGAUACCCAUUUGUGACUCCAGGCUUACGAUGGCCGAGCUAUGCCCCAUGGUGGGGAAGCUCUAG